UGAGGCACAGUUAUUUUUCUGUCUAGUUAUUCUUUCUGUAUGUAUAUACGUUGUAUUCUGUAUGACUAUAUAUUCUAGAGAUCCAUGAGAUUUCUGUGUCAGCAGAGAAGCAGCGUGGCUUAGCGGAAAGAGCCCGGGCUGGGGAGUCGGAGGUCGUGGGUUGUGACUUUGGAUCCUUCACCUGCGGCUGAGAAGACUCGUUGACUAACGCAGUCGGAAAUUCCAGGAAUGACUCUGACAUCAAUUGAUGGACCUACCAAUCAGUGACUCUACCAGGGGAACGACAGACAAAUCUCUGCCAGCAUCCAGUGCAGCCCAGAGAUCGGAUCAAACUGCGACACCUGGUUCUGCAGGACCCAGAUGGGUUCAAAAGUAUCUUUUCUCUUCAUGAAGAAAAAAGGAUCGUGUUUCCUUUGGACCUCUAACCCCUGAUCUCUCAGCUCAGGACCAGAGGCCAGAUGAGCUAACUGAGGCCCAGAGAAGUGAAGUGACUUGACCGAGAUCACACAGCAGACAGAUGGCGGACGAGGAAUUAGUGACUCCCAGGAGGAAUUAGUGACUCCCAGGCCCGGACUCUCUCCACUAGGCCAUGCUCUUUCCUAACUGCAGUCCCUUGAGACGUUAAUCUUCCUAUGUGCUCUGCUGUGCACACGAUGAGGUAACUGAGGCCCAGAGAAGUGAAAUGAGUUGCCCAAGGCAGAUGGCACUGAUCCCACAGUGAUGAUCGGUCACGGAGCCUGAGUCGAUCAGCUGUCGGCCACUGAUGGAAGCAGGAAAAGGAGAUCCGUCCGUGGUCAUCGAUGCACAUCUACCUGGUGCCGGGGCCCAGGCCUGCUGGCGGACGGGACGAUCGUGGUGUUUGCUCACCGUUGCCAGCCCCCUCCAUGGCCACCCAUUUUCCAACGAGGGAUGGAAUUCUGGAAUUUCCCGAGAAGGAGGGGGUGUCACAGCUGUAGGAUCGUACGGGUUUGGGCACCCUCAUGGUGUGGGCGCUAAAGAAACGAAGAGCGCAGGCUUUACUGAAGCCACAAGGAGGAAGGUGAAUCAAGGCUGAAGCUGUUUGAGGCCGAGAUCCGCUCAGCCCCAAAGCCCUGACAGCAGCUGAAUGGCAGAGAGCGGGUCCGGCGCUCCGGGGGAGACUUCCAUCCCAUACUUAGAAGCACAGAGAAGUUAAGUGACAAGCCCAAGUCAUACAGCAGAGAGAUGGCGGAGGCAGAAUUAGAACCCAGGUCCUUCUGAAUCCCGGGCCUGGGGUCUAUCCACUAGGCCAUGCUGCUUCCUGACGACAUCGUAUUAUGAGUGAAACGGUGGAGUUCAUCGUUUAUCAAGGGAGGUGGACUAAAAUGAUUUAUCGACGGGGCAAGCCGGAGCAGGACAAGAAGAAGCAAGCAGCGGCGCAAAUACAUCGGUUUAGCUUGGUGAAAUGGAAGUGCUCACUGGAUGACUUCUCAUCCAGCUGCCAUGAGGGCCCAAGCUCUUGCCUUCAUCCCGUGGAGAACCGUGCCAGGAACGCCGGCCAGCCAACUCCUAGGACACGGCUUUUGUUCGGCUCCGAGGACAUUCAAGAGGUCCGCCGACUUGGGCCAUCCCUCCACCCUUCUAGCAAGUCUCUUCCCUUCCUGCUUCCGCAGGAUCUCGUCACUCCCAGGACCCAGAUGCACUGAACGGAGAGUGCAGAAAAACACAGUCGUCUGCAAAAAAAGUUUUAAAAUCACAAAUCCGCUAGUGUAUUG